rnacentral:rRNA from 1 species
AGACCCGAAACCCGGUGAUCUAGCCAUGGGCAGGUUGAAGGUUGGGUAACACUAACUGGAGGACCGAACCGACUAAUGUUGAAAAAUUAGCGGAUGACCUGUGGCUGGGGGUGAAAGGCCAAUCAAACCGGGAGAUAGCUGGUUCUCCCCGAAAGCUAUUUAGGUAGCGCCUCGUGAAUUCAUCUCCGGGGGUAGAGCACUGUUUCGGCUAGGGGGCCAUCCCGGCUUACCAACCCGAUGCAAACUGCGAAUACCGGAGAAUGUUAUCACGGGAGACACACGGCGGGUGCUAACGUCCGUCGUGAAGAGGGAAACAACCCAGACCGCCAGCUAAGGUCCCAAAGUCAUGGUUAAGUGGGAAACGAUGUGGGAAGGCCCAGACAGCCAGGAUGUUGGCUUAGAAGCAGCCAUCAUUUAAAGAAAGCGUAAUAGCUCACUGGUCGAGUCGGCCUGCGCGGAAGAUGUAACGGGGCUAAACCAUGCACCGAAGCUGCGGCAGCGAACGUAUCACCCAAGACAACUUUACGGAGUUGACGAUUGACGGAGCGAAGCGACGUCAAAGCGUUCAUUAAAGUCGAGUUGGCUUAGGGAUACGUUCGUUGGGUAGGGGAGCGUUCUGUAAGCCUGUGAAGGUGUGUCGUGAGGCAUGCUGGAGGUAUCAGAAGUGCGAAUGCUGACAUAAGUAACGAUAAAGCGGGUGAAAAGCCCGCUCGCCGGAAGACCAAGGGUUCCUGUCCAACGUUAAUCGGGGCAGGGUGAGUCGACCCCUAAGGCGAGGCCGAAAGGCGUAGUCGAUGGGAAACGGGUUAAUAUUCCCGUACUUGGUGUUACUGCGAAGGGGGGACGGAGAAGGCUAUGUUGGCCGGGCG